rnacentral:misc_RNA from 1 species
UUAAUUAUUUGCUUGUGCCACUCAGAAGAAACGUCGUUGCAAUAGAGUUUGGGUAUCCUCCGGCGGGCGCCACGCCCGGUGUGGGGCGCGGCCGGGAGGCGGACCGCCCCCGGGGGGGUUGUCCUCCUGCCCGCCGAAGCAACAGUUAAGGUAUGUUCGCAAAGGGUUGAAGAGCGGUAACUCGAUAAUGAUCCCUCCGCUGGUUCACCAACGGAGA